rnacentral:rRNA from 1 species
AUUGAACGCUGGCGGCAGGCUUAACACAUGCAAGUCGAACGAGUGGCGGACGGGUGAGUAAUGCCUGGGAAACUGCCUGAUGGAGGGGGCUAACUACUGGAAACGGUAGCUAAUACCGCAUACCAUCGGAUGUGCCCAGAUGGGCUUAGCGAGUAGGUGGGGUAAAGGCUCACCAAGGCGACGAUCCCUAGCUGGUCUGAGAGGAUGACCAGCCACACUUGAACUGAGACACGGUCCAGACUCCUACGGUAGGCAGCCGUGGGGAAUAUUGCACAAGGGGCGCAAGCCUGAUGCAGCCAUGCGGCGUGUGUGAAGAAGGCCUUCGGGUUGUAAAGCACUUUCAGCGAGGAGGCGUUACUCGCAGAAGAAGCACCGGCUAACUCCGUGCCAGCAGCCGCGGUAAUAC